rnacentral:rRNA from 1 species
GAUGAACGCUGGCGGCGUGCCUAAUACAUGCAAGUCGAGCGAACAGACGAGGAGCUUGCUCCUCUGACGUUAGCGGCGGACGGGUGAGUAACACGUGGAUAACCUACCUAUAAGACUGGGAUAACUUCGGGAAACCGGAGCUAAUACCGGAUAAUAUAUUGAACCGCAUGGUUCAAUAGUGAAAGACGGUUUUGCUGUCACUUAUAGAUGGAUCCGCGCCGCAUUAGCUAGUUGGUAAGGUAACGGCUUACCAAGGCAACGAUGCGUAGCCGACCUGAGAGGGUGAUCGGCCAUACUGGAACUGAGACACGGUCCAGACUCCUACGGGAGGCAGCAGUAGGGAAUCUUCCGCAAUGGGCGAAAGCCUGACGGAGCAACGCCGCGUGAGUGAUGAAGGUCUUCGGAUCGUAAAACUCUGUUAUUAGGGAAGAACAAAUGUGUAAGUAACUAUGCACGUCUUGACGGUACCUAAUCAGAAAGCCACGGCUAACUACGU